CGGUCUGCUGGAGGUGCGGAGACCCGGACCACUUCCGGGAUCAGUGUCCGCUGAUGGAAAUAGGGACGGUGGUGCGGGUCUCCGAUGUCCCGCAGGCUGCCCCCGAUCGGGCUGGAGCGUUCCGUGUUCCGUAAGCAUGAGGAGAGCGGCAUAAAAGAGCAGCAGCCACAGAGCCUCGGGACAGAGAGUGCCUACACCCAGAGUGGCAACGAAAAUAACGUAUUGUACGAUUGUGUAUCAAACAGAAAGUGUAAUUAAAAGAAUCUUACCUUGAGGCCGACGCUGGUUCCCGUGUCUUCCUUAGUGAAAAGCUUCACACUGCUGAAUCCCUUGACAUGCAAAAUAAGAUGUGCUUGUUAUUUAGUAUGUCAGACCAUUUAUGAGAACAUGGAACUUGUUAUUUGGAAAUGGGAUGAAUCCAAUGAACAACUCUGAAGCCUGAAAUAGUUGUGGACUGUGCUGCUACUUGAAGGGAUUACCCACCUAUUGUUCCCUCAUUAAGUGUGUGGCUUCCUCCGAUUGUUAUUAUGGAAAUGACAUUCACUGUUGUCUGAUGCUGAUAUGUCACGUUCCUUGGUCACAUGAAUGUUUCGUGUACAAUACAACUGAAGCUCAAUUGAUAGCAUUUGUGGCAUAAUGUUAAUUACCACCAAAAACAAAAUACAAAUAAUAACAGUUAUCGGCUCUUCCCUCCUUUAAAAAAAGCAAAAAUCAAGGUUACAGUAAGGUACUUACAAUGGAAGUUAGUGGGGCCAUUUUUUAAGGGUUUAAAGAAAGAAAUUUGAAGCUUCUCAUUUUAUUAAAGCACUUACUUUAAUUCCUCUUUUAAAAAUCAUGUAUUAUUUGAGCUGUAAAGUUGCUUAAAUCGUAAUUUUUACAGUUGUCAUGGCAGAAAAGUUGUACAAUUGGCUGUAACUUUACACAGAAAAGGUUAGUAAGUGAUUUUAUCACACUAAAAUCACACAUAUUGUUUACAUCUUGUGUCUAUACUUUUUUGAACAGUGAGAAUUUAAAUGUUUACAGAUUGGCCCCAUUCACUUCCAUUGUAAGUGCCUCACUGUAAACACAGAUUUUUGUGCUUUUUUCAAAGAAAAGGAUGGGCAAGUCAAAAUAUGUUUUUUAGGUAAUCAAUAUUAUGCCACAAAUGCUGUCGAUUGAGUUUGACCUUUAUUUAUACAAUAAAUAUUCCUUGAAAUAAGCACAUACUUUAUCUCUAUAUGGGAAAUUGAAAUUUGAUUGAAAUGGGAAAUAAUGUGCAACAUCCAGUAGACCACAAUUAUGACUAAUAAAUCUGUACCAGUAUAUAAUGUUUUACUUGUUUCACUGUAACAAUAUUCUCCAAUUAGGAGACAUUCAUUUUUAAAAUGCAUUUGGAUAACAUUUGGGAACUUGUCUGAUGCAUUCAACUUCCAAGUCUAUGGCCACAAUUAAGACAUUUAUGACUGAAGGAAAUGCGAAAUGGUUCAUUGAUAACUUAAUACGCCAUAAAAGUAAUUAUUACCAAAGUCAGUAAUGCUUGAAAAUGCAAACUAGGUGCAUAUUUUAGCUACUCUAUCCUAUUUAUAGGAAAUGUCAUUGUAUAACUUCAUGAAGACAGACAUGGGGUCUAUGUGCAAACAAAUAGAAAAUACCAUUUUACGGUCUUUCCUGUUAUAAUCUUGGCUAAUCUUGUCUCAGAUUUCAAUAAAUGUCAGAUUGUUUGUCAAAUCUGAUAGCAUGUGUGUCAGAACUUACAGAGUGGUUGAUUCUGUUAUUAAUCUUUGCAUAGAUUAAUUAAUCAGAUUCAGAUCCAAUUUACACUAUAAUAGUAGUCAGCUCUUACAUAUCUGCAGAGAAAGCUCCAACUGGUUUCAUCAAUUUUUAAAGAGUGUAGAAUAAUAUAUUGAUGUAUUUCCUCAUCUGGGAAAACA